AUGCGCAUUGGUGUUCCAAAAGUACCUUCUCAGAUUCUUUUUUAAGAUGAAGAAGCGACUUGAAUUGACCUAUACAAUGUUAUGUAUCGAGGAAUGACACUUUUCUUAGGUCCAGAGAUUUGUUGCGAGAUCAUGAAUCACAUUACAAGUCUCAUGGUAUAUCUCAGUACCGAAGAUGGAAUGAGCAAUAAUUGUUUGUCGUUCCCUAAGCGGGUGGCUAAUCUCAGGAACGACGGUUUUUGA
rnacentral:rRNA from 1 species